rnacentral:rRNA from 1 species
ACAGAGGGCGUGAGCGUUGUCCGGAAUCACUGGGCGUAAAGGGCGCGUAGGUGGCCACCAUAAGGCCGCGGUGAAAGCUUGGGGCUCAACCACAGAAUUGCCUUCGAUACUGCGAGGCUUGAGACCGGAAGAGGUUAGUGGAACUGCGAGUGUAGAGGUGAAAUUCGUAGAUAUUCGCAAGAACACCAGUGGCGAAGGCGGCUGACUGGUCCGGUUCUGACGCUGAGGCGCGAAAGCGUGGGGAGCAAACAGGA